UACGGAGGAUGCAAGCGUUAUCCGGAAUGAUUGGGCGUAAAGCGUCCGCAGGUGGCUAUGUAAGUCUGCUGUUAAAGAGCAAAGCUUAACUUUGUAAAAGCAGUGGAAACUACAUAGCUAGAGUGCGUUCGGGGCAGAGGGAAUUUCUGGUGUAGCGGUGAAAUGCGUAGAGAUCAGGAAGAACACCGGUGGCGAAGGCGCUCUGCUAGGCCGCAACUGACACUGAGGGACGAAAGCUAGGGGAGCGAAUGGG
rnacentral:rRNA from 1 species